UCCUAUGAUGGCAUGAAUCUUUGAGACCUGAUUAUUCUAAUGAUGACAACUACAAGCAUAUCUCCUGAGGAC
rnacentral:snoRNA from 2 species